rnacentral:rRNA from 1 species
UGGGGAAUAUUGCACAAUGGGCGCAAGCCUGAUGCAGCCAUGCCGCGUGUAUGAAGAAGGCCUUCGGGUUGUAAAGUACUUUCAGCGGGGAGGAAGGCGAUAAGGUUAAUAACCUUGUCGAUUGACGUUACCCGCAGAAGAAGCACCGGCUAACUCCGUGCCAGCAGCCGCGGUAAUACGGAGGGUGCAAGCGUUAAUCGGAAUUACUGGGCGUAAAGCGCACGCAGGCGGUCUGUCAAGUCGGAUGUGAAAUCCCCGGGCUCAACCUGGGAACUGCAUUCGAAACUGGCAGGCUAGAGUCUUGUAGAGGGGGGUAGAAUUCCAGGUGUAGCGGUGAAAUGCGUAGAGAUCUGGAGGAAUACCGGUGGCGAAGGCGGCCCCCUGGACAAAGACUGACGCUCAGGUGCGAAAGAGUGGGGAGCAAACA